UACUGUAAGGAGUAGGGUCUCAGAGCAUGAAAAAAGAAAUACAAUGAGAAAGAAGGAUUCAAUCCAGAAUCUCUUGCUAGAGUUUCUGAGAGACGCGGCGGAUCUGGGUUAGGUUGCUAUCCCCAAAUGGUGGGGCGGAGGCUUGGUUCUGGAGGAGCAGACCCGCAAACUCCAGAACAGAGCAGCCUUGUAAAAUGUGUUUGGGCAGCUCUGAGACGCGUCAUCCACUGCCUCAUUUGUAAAAAAGUAUGGAAAGCAUCGGUACAUGUUCUGCCAUCUUGGGACGCUGGCCUUUUCUAACAGGGGUGUCUUGAGGAGGAGAACAUGGCUGCUGUUCGAACG